UACUCGAGUGGCGAACGGGUGAGUAACACGUGGGUGAUCUGCCCUGCACUUCGGGAUAGGCCUGGGAAACUGGGUCUAAUACCGGAUAGGAGCCAUUUUUAGUGUGAUGGUUGGAAAGUUUUUUCGGUGUAGGAUGAGCUCGCGGCCUAUCAGCUUGUUGGUGGGGUAAUGGCCUACCAAGGCGGCGACGGGUAGCCGGCCUGAGAGGGUGGACGGCCACAUUGGGACUGAGAUACGGCCCAG
rnacentral:rRNA from 1 species